rnacentral:rRNA from 1 species
AUUGAACGCUGGCGGCAGGCCUAACACAUGCAAGUCGAGCGAGCGGCGGACGGGUGAGUAAUGUAUGGGGACUGCCCGAUAGAGGGGGAUAACUACUGGAAACGGUAGCUAAUACCGCAUACUAUCGGAUAACCCAUAUGGGAUUAGCUAGUAGGUGAGGUAAUGGCUCACCUAGGCGACGAUCCCUCGCUGGUCUGAGAGGAUGAUCAGCCAACCUGUGACUGAGACACGGCCCAUACUCCUACGGAGGCAGCAGUGGGGAAUAUGGCAGAAUUGGCGCAAGCCUGAUGCAGCGAUGCCGCGUGGAUGAUGAAGUCCUUCGGGUUGUAAAGUACUUUUGGCAGAGAAGCGGUAUCUGCAGAAUAAGCACCGGCUAACUACGUGCCAGCAGCCGCGGUAAUUC